CCUGCGCUGUUGGCGUAGCCUCUACCGACGAGUAUAGUCCGGCAAGACGACGUACGUACACGAGCACUUCCGUCGAGUUGCACGCACGCUCAAAACAGCUAGCACCCUGGUACGCAUGGAAUGGAUCCAUGCAAGAUGAUGUUGACCAGACCAAGUCACGACGCCAAUAUUCGGAGAUCACCUUGCCAUGGACGCCUAGGAGCCGGCUCCGUCACGCCCGCUGAAAGCUCCACAUCUACGCACCGAUCGCCUCCAACGGAGCUUCUGCCGUAGACCACAUCAUCACGUUGACACAUCUUCAUCAACCCCUCCCCGACAAGGGCGCCAACUACGGCGACACGAAGAACGUCUUCAUUGACUCGCCAGCAAGGUGGUGAGGACAACAACUACAUCGACACGCUGACAUUCGUCUACGUCAACCCGACUACGCCAGUCGAGUCACACGACCACUACCUGCCAAGCCUCCAUGGGCCCAUGCACACCUCCAACAUCACAAGAUCUACAUCGCCAAGUUCAUUCAUCAUCGUCAUCAAGCCACGCUGCCACACGACGACGUUCAUGUCUACUCCGACAACCACAUCGACCCUCUUCCCCAACAUCGGCCUAGCACCGACGAGGCGAAGCCACUCCACUGACUGUCUUUUCUUCGAUGAAGCAAACCAUUUCUUGCCGGGCACCGACGAGGCGAAGGCGGGACAUCAAGUCCGACACCGACGAGGCGGACACCACUAGGCCUGGCACCGACGAGGCGAAGGCCGCCCAUCUGUCUGAGCUGACGAGGCUAGACAUCUUCAUCAUCGGACAUCGACAAGCCGGAGAGAAUGGCUAAGCAUCGCCGGGGCGACGGACGUACCGUCCCGCUUUCCACUUCACCAUCACAUCAUCAUCGUCUACGCCAAGUGCAUGGAGAAGACAAGACUUGAAGACGACGACCAUUGCAGCAGCUUAAUCGGAGGUGGUCCGCGGUGUUGACUCGCGGACGUAAUUAAUCGGGAGCCUUCCGAGGCCCCGUGAAUCAGAACACACAAUCGCCCAAGUCAUAUCGGCCGCGCUAGCAGGCCACGGAGCGCAUAUGUAAAGGGAUCUUGUAAUUUCGUUUCUCCAUUGAGAGAUUAAUAAAAAUACAUGUUUUCCUAUAUUUUAUUUGUGUACUUAUGUACACUGGCACGCCCGCAUAUUCAUUUUACCCUGGCACGCAGAGAGAUAAUAUUUAUUCCACAUUUUAUUA